GCUUUUGACCAUGCGGACGUGGUUGAGGACUUGUGUCUCUGAGGAUCCCCGGAUCAGCCAGUCGUCGAGGUAUGGAAAUACGUGUAUGCGACUGCGGCGAAAGUAGGCGACGACCACAGCCAUACACUUGGUGAACACUCUCGGGGCCGCGGAGAGGCCAAACGGGAGGACCGCAAAUUGAAAGUGACGAGCACCCACA